rnacentral:ncRNA from 1 species
GGAUUUAUUGGGCGUAAAGCGAGCGCAGACGGUUAUUUAAGUCCGAAGUGAAAGCCCACAGCUUAACUGUGGAAGUGCUUUGGAAACUGGAUAACUUGAGUGCAGUAGAGGAGAGUGGAACUCCAUGUGUAGCGGUGAAAUGCGUAGAUAUAUGGAAGAACACCAGUGGCGAAGGCGGCUCUCUGGACUGUAACUGACGUUGAGGCUCGAAAGUGUGGGUAGCAAACAGGAUUAGAUACCCUGGUAGUCCACACCGUAAACGAUGAGUGCUAGAUGUUUGAGGGUUUCCGCCCUUAAGUGUCGCAGCUAACGCAUUAAGCACUCCGCC